GGCGAGAUGGCCAAGCGGUCCAAGGCGCAGGUUUUGGGCACCAUUCCCUUCCGUGGCGUUUGUUCGAAUCCCACUCUCGUCA
rfam:Angiostrongylus costaricensis strain Costa Rica genome assembly, scaffold: ACOC_contig0003236